rnacentral:lncRNA from 1 species
GCAUCAUAGUACAGGAAGCUUGUGUCUGUGUGAAGCAGAGCAUCAUGGUACAGGAAGCUGUGGCAGAGUGAUUAUCCCCAUGAGCUGGAUGCAUGAAGGCUCUUCAAAGGAUCCUCUGUGAGGACAGCGGUUGGUGACAAGAGCCAUCAGAGCAAGGGGCAGGCUGACAGGAGUGAGGGCACAGUGGAGUCAGCCCAAUGGGGCUCAUUAGCUCAGCGUUCUUCAUCAUGGCUGGAGGCCUUGAUCUUUACUAGAAAAUUCCACACAGUCUCAAGUGCUGAGCAAAAUCAACCAGAUUCUAUUGCUAGGAGGGCAGAGUCCUGAGGAUGGCCCCUUUGGGCGGCAAGACCCCGUGAAUGUCAUGCACAACUUGGAGAAAGUAACCCAAGUGGCACACACUGGAGCCUAAGCAAAUUGCCCAGAAAUCAACUGGCUGCAGCACAAACUAAUUGAAUCUCCACAGAAAGUACCCUUCCUGGCCACACCGUCCCUCCACAACGAAGAAAUAAGUAAAUUAAACUGAGUGUAUACAAGAUCUGGAUGUAGAACUCUCAGCUCCUUCUCCGGCAACAUGUCUAGCCGCAUGCUGCUAUGCCCCCGCCCUGAUGGCAAUGGACUAAACCUCAGAAACGUGAUUUCCCCCCAGAAUGUAGAAACUGAAAAGACCAUGGAAAGUCAACCAGGGCAGUUGAAAAUGAGUUAAACAUGGAGGUCCCUCUGUAAACAUCUGUUCUUCACUAUCAACUUUCAAAUGAGAAACUACAAACCACAACUGAUUCAUUUGAGAG